UGGGGAAUAUUGGACAAUGGGCGCAAGCCUGAUCCAGCCACGCCGCGUGAGUGAUGAAGGCCCUAGGGUUGUAAAGCUCUUUCACCGGUGAAGAUAAUGACGGUAACCGGAGAAGAAGCCCCGGCUAACUUCGUGCCAGCAGCCGCGGUAAUACGAAGGGGGCUAGCGUUGUUCGGAAUUACUGGGCGUAAAGCGCACGUAGGCGGGUAUUUAAGUCAGGGGUGAAAUCCCAGAGCUCAACUCUGGAACUGCCUUUGAUACUGGGUACCUAGAGUAUGGAAGAGGUGAGUGGAAUUCCGAGUGUAGAGGUGAAAUUCGUAGAUAUUCGGAGGAACACCAGUGGCGAAGGCGGCUCACUGGCCCGGUACUGACGCUGAGGUGCGAAAGCGUGGGGAGCAAACA
rnacentral:rRNA from 1 species